GACGAACGCUGGCGGCGUGCCUAAUACAUGCAAGUAGAACGCUGAAGGAGGAGCUUGCUUCUCUGGAUGAGUUGCGAACGGGUGAGUAACGCGUAGGUAACCUGCCUGGUAGCGGGGGAUAACUAUUGGAAACGAUAGCUAAUACCGCAUAAGAGUAGAUGUUGCAUGACAUUUGCUUAAAAGGUGCAAUUGCAUCACUACCAGAUGGACCUGCGUUGUAUUAGCUAGUUGGUGAGGUAACGGCUCACCAAGGCAACGAUACAUAGCCGACCUGAGAGGGUGAUCGGCCACACUGGGACUGAGACACGGCCCAGACUCCUACGGGAGGCAGCAGUAGGGAAUCUUCGGCAAUGGACGGAAGUCUGACCGAGCAACGCCGCGUGAGUGAAGAAGGUUUUCGGAUCGUAAAGCUCUGUUGUAAGAGAAGAACGAGUGUAAGAGUGGAAAUUUCACACUGGACG
rnacentral:rRNA from 1 species